UGAAAAUCUUUACCCUCAGUGACCAUUUUCCU
rnacentral:piRNA from 1 species